UACAGAGACUGCAAGCGUUAUUCGGAUUCACUGGGCGUAAAGGGUGCGCAGGCGGCCGAGUGUGUGAGGCGUGAAAAGCCCGGGGCUUAACCCCGGAAUUGCACCUCAAACUACACGGCUAGAGCAUUGGAGAGGGUAGCAGAAUUCAUGGUGUAGCAGUGAAAUGCGUAGAUAUCAUGAGGAAUACCAGAGGCGAAGGCGGCUACCUGGACAAUUGCUGACGCUCAGGCACGAAAGCGUGGGGAGCAAAAGGG
rnacentral:rRNA from 1 species